UUAGAGUUUGAUCAUGGCUCAGAACGUACGCUGGCGGCACGCCUAACACAUGCAAGUCGAACGAAGUAGCAAUACUUAGUGGCAGACGGGUGAGUAACAUGUGGGUAUCUGCCCUUUGGCCUGGAAUAACACGAGGAAACUUGUGCUAAUACUGGAUAAGUCUUUACGGAGAAAGCUUUAUGCACCAUUGGAUGAGCCCGCACUUGAUUAGUUUGUUGGUGGGGUAAUGGCCUACCAAGACUGUGAUCAAUAGCUGAUUUGAGAGGAUGAUCAGCCACAUUGGGACUGAGACACGGCCCAAACUCCUACGGGAGGCAGCAGUGGGGAAUCUUGCACAAUGGAGGAAACUCUGAUGCAGCGAUGCCGCGUGAGUGAAGAAGGCCCUUGGGUUGUAAAGCUCUUUCGUCGGGGAAGAAAAUGACUGUACCCGAAUAAGAAGGUCCGGCUAACUUCGUGCCAGCAGCCGCGGUAAUACGAAGGGACCUAGCGUAGUUCGGAAUUACUGGGCUUAAAGAGUUCGUAGGUGGUUGAAAAAGUUGGUGGUGAAAUCCCAGAGCUUAACUCUGGAACUGCCAUCAAAACUUUUCAGCUAGAGUUUGAUAGAGGAAAGCAGAAUUUCUAGUGUAGAGGUGAAAUUCGUAGAUAUUAGAAAGAAUACCAAUUGCGAAGGCAGCUUUCUGGAUCAUUACUGACACUGAGGAACGAAAGCAUGGGUAGCGAAGAGGAUUAGAUACCCUCGUAGUCCAUGCUGUAAACGAUGUGUGUUAGACGUUGGAAAUUUAUUUUCAGUGUCGCAGCGAAAGCGAUAAACACACCGCCUGGGGAGUACGACCGCAAGGUUAAAACUCAAAUGAAUUGACGGGGACCCGCACAAGUAGUGGAGCAUGUGGUUUAAUUCGAAGAUACGCGCAGAACCUUACCAACACUUGACAUGUUCGUCGCGACUUUAAGAGAUUAAAGUUUUCGGUUCGGCCGGACGAAACACAGGUGCUGCAUGGCUGUCGUCAGCUCGUGUCGUGAGAUGUUGGGUUAAGUCCCGCAACGAGCGCAACCCUCACUUUUAGUUGCCAUCAUUUAGUUGGGCACUCUGAAAGAACUGCCAGUGAUAAGCUGGAGGAAGGUGGGGAUGACGUCAAGUCCUCAUGGCCCUUACGUGUUGGGCUACACACGUGCUACAAUGGUAUUUACAACAGGAAGCAAAACAGCGAUGUUAAGCAAAUCCUCAAAAGAUACCUCAGUUCGGAUUGCACUCUGCAACUCGAGUGCAUGAAGCUGGAAUUACUAGUAAUCGUGGAUCAGCGUGCCACGGUGAAUGCGUUCCC
rnacentral:rRNA from 1 species